GCCCUCGUGGUGAAAUUAGCAGACACGCCGCCCUUAGGAGGCGGUGCCGCAAGGCGUAGAGGUGCAAAUCCUCUCGAGGGCACUA
rnacentral:tRNA from 1 species